rnacentral:rRNA from 1 species
ACGUAGGUGGCGAGCGUUGUCCGGAAUUAUUGGGCGUAAAGCGCGCGCAGGUGGGAUAGUAAGUCUGUUUUAAAAGUUCGGGGCUCAACCCCGUAAUGCAACGGAUACUGCUAUUCUUGAGUGCAGGAGAGGAAAGCGGAAUUCCCAGUGUAGCGGUGAAAUGCGUAGAUAUUGGGAGGAACACCAGUGGCGAAGGCGGCUUUCUGGACUGUGUCUGACACUGAGGCGCGAAAGCCAGGGGAGCGAACGG